rnacentral:rRNA from 1 species
CCUACGGGUGGCAGCAGUGGGGAAUAUUGCGCAAUGGGCGAAAGCCUGACGCAGCGACGCCGCGUGAGGGAUGAAGGUCUUCUGAUCGUACACCUCUGUCAGCAGGGAAGAACGGUCACUGUGCUAUUCAGCAGUGAAUUGACGGUACCUGCAAAGGAAGCACCGGCUAACUCCGUGCCAGCAGCCGCGGUAAUACGGGGGGUGCGAGCUUUAAUCGGAAUUAAUGGGCGGAAAGCGCUCGUAGGCGGUAAGGCAAGUCAAGGGUGAAAUCCCCGCGCUCAACGUGGGCACUGCCUUUGAAACGGGCAAACUGGAGUGUGUGAGAGGAUGGUGGAAUGCGAGGUGUAGGAGUGAAA